rnacentral:rRNA from 1 species
AUUGAACGCUGGCGGCAGGCCUAACACAUGCAAGUCGAGCGGAUGAAGGGAGCUUGCUCCUGGAUUCAGCGGCGGACGGGUGAGUAAUGCCUAGGAAUCUGCCUGGUAGUGGGGGAUAACGUCCGGAAACGGGCGCUAAUACCGCAUCCGUCCUGAGGGAGAAGGUGGGGGAUCUUCGGACCUACCGCUACCGGUUGAGCCUAGGUCGGAUUAGCUAGUUGGUGGGGUAAAGGCCUACCAAGGCGACGAUCCGUAACUGGUCUGAGAGGAUGAUCAGUCACACUGGAACUGAGACACGGUCCAGACUCCUACGGGAGGCAGCAGUGGGGAAUAUUGGACAAUGGGCGAAAGCCUGAUCCAGCCAUGCCGCGUGUGUGAAGAAGGUCUUCGGAUUGUAAAGCACUUUAAGUUGGGAGGAAGGGCAGUAAGUUAAUACCUUGCUGUUUUGACGUUACCAACAGAAUAAGCACCGGCUAACUUCGUG